GACGAACGCUGGCGGCGUGCCUAAUACAUGCAAGUUGAGCGAUGAAGAUUGGUGCUUGCACCAAUUUGAAGAGCAGCGCACGGGUGAGUAACGCGUGGGGAAUCUGCCUUUGAGCGGGGGACAACAUUUGGAAACGAAUGCUAAUACCGCAUAACAACUUUAAACAUAAGUUUUAAGUUUGAAAGAUGCAAUUGCAUCACUCAAAGAUGAUCCCGCGUUGUAUUAGCUAGUUGGUGAGGUAAAGGCUCACCAAGGCGAUGAUACAUAGCCGACCUGAGAGGGUGAUCGGCCACAUUGGGACUGAGACACGGCCCAAACUCCUACGGGAGGCAGCAGUAGGGAAUCUUCGGCAAUGGACGAAAGUCUGGCCGAGCAACGCCGCGUGAGUGAAGAAGGUUUUCGGAUCGUAAAACUCUGUUGGUAGAGAAGAACGUUGGUGAGAGUGGAAAGCUCAUCAAGUGACGGUAACUACCCAGAAAGGGACGGCUAACUACGUG
rnacentral:rRNA from 1 species